rnacentral:misc_RNA from 1 species
UUGUCGUGGAUAUCCACGACUCGUCUGAAAUGCUUGAGUGUACCCUGCUUUGCGGCGUAUUCGGUGUGAUACAUCUUCACCGGAGUUGAUCCUUUUGGGUCGCGUCUAUACAAGUGUGGCUCUAUGCUUCCAACCGUCUUCCAGGAGACAAUGUUUGACAAUUUGACCUCAAAUCGGGUGGGACUACCCGCUGAACUUAA